rnacentral:rRNA from 1 species
AUUGAACGCUGGCGGCAUGCUUUACACAUGCAAGUCGAACGGCAGCGGGGAGGAGCUUGCUUCUCCGCCGGCGAGUGGCGAACGGGUGAGUAAUACAUCGGAACGUGUCGAGAAGAGGGGGAUAACCACCCGAAAGGGUGGCUAAUACCGCAUAAAUUCUGAGGAAGAAAGCUGGGGACCUAGGAAUAGGCCUAGCGCUUUUUGAGCGGCCGAUGUCGGAUUAGCUAGUUGGUGAGGUAAAGGCUCACCAAGGCGAAGAUCUGUAGCGGGUCUGAGAGGAUGAUCCGCCACACUGGGACUGAGACACGGCCCAGACUCCUACGGGAGGCAGCAGUGGGGAAUUUUGGACAAUGGGGGCAACCCUGAUCCAGCCAUGCCGCGUGUAUGAAGAAGGCCUUAGGGUUGUAAAGUACUUUUGUUAGGGAAGAAAAGUCAGCUGUGAAUAAUGGCUGAUACUGACGGUACCUAAAGAAUAAGCACCGGCUAACUACGUG